rnacentral:misc_RNA from 1 species
AAGUCGUAACAAGGUUUCCGUAGGUGAACCUGCGGAAGGAUCAUUAAGAGAGCCCCGUCAGGGGUUGAAGCCGGUGUACCAUCUCCGGGCCUUACCGCCUGAGGAGGUCCCGGCUGACUCGUUCCACCCCAUGUGAAACUUAUACCUUUGCUUCGGCAGCGCCUUGCGGGCAACCGCUCGGGUAAGGCUGCCAGAGGCCCACAAACAAACUAGUUGAUGAAAUGUCAUGCUGUCUGAAUCUAUACAAUUUGAGAAAUCAAAUUUCGUUAAAACUUUCAACAACGGAUCUCUUGGUUCCC